rnacentral:lncRNA from 1 species
UUCAGGAAACCGCUACAGCACAGACUCCGUCCUCAUGGACCUGGAAACAGCUCCGCACAGUGAGCCGUGUCUGUCUCUGUGAAGGAGCAACAGGCUGAUUUCUGCCUCAAACCACCGCAGCGAGUGUCUGACACCAUGAAACUGAAUCCACAGGAAGCUCUGCUUUAUGGAGACUGUGUGCUGACAGUGCAGCUUGAUGAGGACGAAGAGAAGGAAGCAGACUUUUACCUGAUUUUCUCUGGGUCUACACAAA